rnacentral:rRNA from 1 species
UAGUCAUAUGCUCGUCUUAAAGACUAAGCCAUGCAUGUACAAGUACACGCAUCAAAAUGGCUAGACUGCGUACGGCUCAGUACAACAGACUUCAUCUACAAGAAGUCACAAAUCCUACAUGGAUAACUGUGGCAAUUCUAGAGCUAAUACAUGCAAGAAAGCUCCGACCACUUCUAUUAACCCAGCAAUGGGCUAAAAUGGGGUGGGAAGAGUGCCUUAUUUACACUGAAUUGAAAUCCAAACCCUCUCCGGAGGUGUUUGAGUAUGACUCUGGAAAACUUUGCUGAUCGCACGGCCUUGGUGUCGGCGACGUAUCUUUCAAAUGUCUGACCUAUCACACUAACGAUGGUACGGUAUAGGCCUACCACGGUGACAACGGGUAACGGGGAAUCAGGGUUUGAUUCCGGAGAGGGAGCAUGAGAAACGGCUACCACAUCCAAGGAAGGCAGCAGGCACGCAAAUUACCCACUCCCGAUACGGGGAGGUAGUGACGAAAAAUAACAAUACGAGACUCUAUCGAGCUCUCGUGAUUGAAAUGAGUACAGUUUAAACCUUUGAAUAAGGAUCCAUUGGAGGGCAAGUCUGGUGCCAGCAGCCGCGGUAAUUCCAGCUCCAAUAGCGUAUAUUAAAGUUGUUGCGGUUAAAAAGCUCGUAGUUGAAUUUCGAAAAGUCUCCUGGGCAUGACUCUAGUCGCAGUGAUUAAAGCGGGUGCCUCCGCCUUUAGCAAGCGGGAGCAUACACCAAACCGCUCACUGCGGCCCUGUGGGACUAAGACAGCUGGCACGGUAAGGGUGCUCUUGACUGAGUGUCCUAUGCCGAAGUGUCAGUGGCUAUUACUUUGAAAAAAUGAGAGUGUUCAAAGCAGACCAGGUGAACGUGGUCUUGAAUUGAGGUCGCAUGGUAUGAUGGAAUAGGUCCUCGGGUUGUCUUUUGUUGGCUUUCGAACCCGAGGAAAUGACUAACAGGGACUGCCGGGGGCAUUCGUAUUGCGGUGCUAGAGGUGAAAUUCAAUGACCAUCGCAAGACGUCCAAGAGCGAAAGCAUUUGCCAAGAAUGUUUUCAUUAGUCAUGAACGAAAGUCAGAGGUUCGAAGACGAUUAGAUACCGUCGUAGUUCUGACCAUAAACUAUGCCACCUUGUAAUCCGUCUGAGUCGAGGUAAGAUGACUUGGCGGGCAACCCUCCGGGAAACCUAAAAGUCUUUGGGUUCCGGGGGGAGUAUGGUUGCAAAACUGAAACUUAAAGGAAUUGACGGAAGGGCACCACCAGGAGUGGAGCCUGCGGCUUAAUUUGACUCAACACGGGAAACCUCACCCGGCCCGAACACUAGUAUGAUUGACAGAUUGAGAGCUCUUUCUUGAUUCGGUGAAUGGUGGUGCAUGGCCGUUYUUAGUUGGUGGAGUGAUUUGUCUGCUUAAUUGCGACAACGAACGAGACUCUAGCCUACUAAAUAGCUCGCGGAAGCAWUGCGUCUUCCUUGGCGAGAGAAAUACUUCUUAGAGGGACAAGUGGUAUAAAAGCCACACGAGCAAUAACAGGUCUGUGAUGCCCUUAGAUGUUCGGGGCCGCACGUGCGCUACACUGAAUGGUUCAGCGUGCUAGUACCUCCUAGCCCGAGAGGGUUUUGGGAAACCAUGUGAACGCCAUUCGUGCUAGGGAUUGGGGCUUGGCAAUUGUUCCCCAUGAACGAGGAAUUCCUUGUAAGCGCGAGUCAAAAGCUUGCGUUGAAUACGUCCCUGCCCUUUGUACACACCGCCCGUCGCUACUACCGAUCGUCCCGGUGAGUGAGCAGCUCGGAUUGGUGCCAAUUCGCAUUGGUGCCGAGAAGAAUUGCGAAUUUGUCGGGAUAGAGGAAGUAAAAGUCGUAACAAGGUAUCC